UCAUACUAGCUGGGGAGUUAGCGGUGCCCUGUAUCUACAAUCCGCUUUAGUAGAGGUGAUGUCGGGCUUAAGGGAAAUUUUAGUAUCAAAGCCUUGCUUUAAAGGUGUUGAGAAAAUAGUCCUGUAUUGUAGAGAGUCAGCGAACCGUGUCAGGGCGGGAACGAAGCAGCACUAAGUUGAUUUCUCUAGGUUUACAGGGUCGCUGUUUUUGAGUCUUUAAGGCAAGAAACAGGUGGUAAAAUUCUUUCGAGAGCCCGAUGUAUGA
rfam:Leptotrichia sp. oral taxon 215 str. W9775 genomic scaffold Scaffold47, whole genome shotgun sequence.